AACGAACGCUGGCGGCAUGCCUAACACAUGCAAGUCGAACGAUGCUUUCGGGCAUAGUGGCGCACGGGUGCGUAACGCGUGGGAAUCUGCCCUUGGGUUCGGAAUAACAGUGAGAAAUUGCUGCUAAUACCGGAUGAUGUCUUCGGACCAAAGAUUUAUCGCCCAGGGAUGAGCCCGCGUAGGAUUAGCUAGUUGGUGGGGUAAUGGCCUACCAAGGCGACGAUCCUUAGCUGGUCUGAGAGGAUGAUCAGCCACACUGGGACUGAGACACGGCCCAGACUCCUACGGGAGGCAGCAGUGGGGAAUAUUGGACAAUGGGCGCAAGCCUGAUCCAGCAAUGCCGCGUGAGUGAUGAAGGCCUUAGGGUUGUAAAGCUCUUUUACCCGGGAUGAUAAUGACAGUACCGGGAGAAAAAGCUCCGGCUAACUCCGUG
rnacentral:rRNA from 1 species